rnacentral:rRNA from 1 species
GAUGAACGCUAGCGGGAGGCCUAACACAUGCAAGCCGAGCGGUAUUUGUUCUUCGGAACAGAGAGAGCGGCGCACGGGUGCGGAACACGUGUGCAACCUGCCUUUAUCUGGGUGAUAGCCUUUCGAAAGGAAGAUUAAUACCUCAUAAUAUAUUGAGUGUCAUCCCUUGAUAUUGAAAACUCCGGUGGAUAGAGAUGGGCACGCGCAAGAUUAGAUAGUUGGUGAGGUAACGGCUCACCAAGUCAAUGAUCUUUAGGGGGCCUGAGAGGGUGAUCCCCCACACUGGGACUGAGACACGGACCAGACUCCUACGGGAGGCAGCAGUGAGGAAUAUUGGACAAUGGGUUAGCGCCUGAUCCAGCCAUCCCGCGUGAAGGACGACGGCCCUAUGGAUUGUAAACUUCUUUUGUAUAGGGAUAAACCUACUCUCGUGAGAGUAGCUGAAGGUACUAUACGAAUAAGCACCGGCUAACUCCGUG